UGAGGAAUAUUGGACAAUGGGCGCAAGCCUGAUCCAGCCAUGCCGCGUGCAGGAUGACGGUCCUAUGGAUUGUAAACUGCUUUUAUACAGGAAGAAACACUACUUCGUGAAGUAGCUUGACGGUACUGUAAGAAUAAGGAUCGGCUAACUCCGUGCCAGCAGCCGCGGUAAUACGGAGGAUCCAAGCGUUAUCCGGAAUCAUUGGGUUUAAAGGGUCCGUAGGCGGUCAGAUAAGUCAGUGGUGAAAGCCCAUCGCUCAACGGUGGAACGGCCAUUGAUACUGUCUGACUUGAAUUAUUAGGAAGUAACUAGAAUAUGUAGUGUAGCGGUGAAAUGCUUAGAGAUUACAUGGAAUACCAAUUGCGAAGGCAGGUUACUACUAAUGGAUUGACGCUGAUGGACGAAAGCGUGGGUAGCGAACAGGAUUAGAUACCCUGGUAGUCCACGCCGUAAACGAUGGAUACUAGCUGUUGGGAGCAA
rnacentral:rRNA from 1 species